CGUGAGGACCCCGAAUCCCGUGAGGUCCAGAGCCUGGGAGCGGGGACGCGCAGAGGAGGCGGUCGGGCCACGGCGCGGGGAGAAAUCACGGACUAUCCCCGUCCGCGGAAGCACACACGAGCUGUGCGCUUAGUCCAUGACGCAAGCGAGUAAGGCCCGUGAGAUUGAAAGCUAAGGCAGAGCAGUCUGGUCAAUCGGAAGCCGCGAAAGUCUGAUGGGCGGGGAUCCUAGCCAUUCGUGGUGAGGCCCCGCCUCCUUUCUUCUCGGCCCCGCCCCUCAGCAGAGGCGGGACUCUGCGAGCGAGAGGCCGCGAGAGGCGGCCGGGGUGGGUCCUGGAGUUUUGUUCUCAGGUUGGCGUGGCCGCCCGCGCGGAGCCUUCUGCUUGGUUAUAUUUGCGUUCCUCGGGCCGGCCCCGCGUGCUGAGUGGUGCGAGCGGGUAUCACGGCCCCGAGGGGGCUACGUCAGACCCAUUUUCCCGGCGGGAAAACCGACUCUGGCUCCGGCUCUGGGUCAGAGAGCCCCGCGGGGAGUCUCAGCGGUGCCUUUGCCGACUUGAGUCUCCGUCUCGGCAUCUGUGAAUUUGGACCUGACUUUGGACAGAACUCAGGCCAGAUCUGGCUUCCUGAUUCUUAGUAGUCCGUGUCUACAUUUUAGUAAAAAGUGACCCCGCCUAGGAUCGGGCGCCGUGGCUCCUGCCUGUGAUCCCAGCGC
rnacentral:lncRNA from 10 species